UACGAAGGGGGCUAGCGUUGCUCGGAAUUACUGGGCGUAAAGGGCGCGUAGGCGGAUAUUUAAGUUAGAGGUGAAAGCCCAGGGCUCAACCCUGGAAUAGCCUUUAAUACUGGAUAUCUUGAGUUCGGGAGAGGUGAGUGGAACUCCGAGUGUAGAGGUGAAAUUCGUAGAUAUUCGGAAGAACACCAGUGGCGAAGGCGGCCAACUGGACCAUUACUGACGCUGAGGCGCGAAAGCGUGGGGAGCAAACAGG
rnacentral:rRNA from 1 species